CUGCGAGUGAAGCGGCAAAAGCUCAAAUUUGAAAUCUGACGUUCGUUAGGAUGUCCGAGUUGUAAUUUGGAGGAGCGUCUUCGGGAACGGACACCGUCCUAAGUUCUUUUGGAACUGGACAUCACAGAGGGUGAGAAUCCCGUGCCUGGGCGGCAGUCUAUUUCCAUGCGAAGCGUUUCCGACGAGUCGAGUUGUUUGGGAAUGCAGCUCAAAACGGGUGGUAAAUUUCAUCUAAAGCUAAAUACGGGCGAGAGACCGAUAGCGCACAAGUAGAGUGAUCGAAAGAUGAAAAGCACUUUGAAAAGAGAGUUAAAAAGUACGUGAAAUUGUUGAAAGGGAAGCGCUUGAGAUUGAACCUGGGGAGGGAUGGCUGCUAAGGUGUUAGCGGCUCUAUGGGCCACCUACCUCUGCAAACGUCAUCUCACAAUACCAGGCCACCAUCGGUUCUGACGGCGAGAAAAACAGCCAGGGAAUGUAGCUCCCCCCGGGGAGUGUUAUAGACCUAGCCUAUUUACGCCAGCUGGGACCGAGGAAAGAGCGAGCUGGGCUUAAUAACCCCAUGGUCUCAAGGAUGUGUGGCAAUGUUGAUCUUAAGCGACCCG
rnacentral:rRNA from 1 species